rnacentral:rRNA from 1 species
CUUGGUCAUUUAGAGGAAGUAAAAGUCGUAACAAGGUUACCUUCUGCAGCGCAGCUCCGGAGACCUUGCAACCCCUAGGGGAGGCAGCACGACAUUAAAUAAAGCUACCGUUUGCAAGUUGGCUAAUAGCCAGCAACACGAUCGAAUUGCGGGGACCUCCUAAAGCCUAUAACACCAACCGUCUGGGGAAACUCGGUCGGGGCCCUUAUAAGGGGUGGUAAGAGAGUAUAGGAUAUUACAAUGGACAAUCCGCAGCGAAUACCCUACCGGCGAGAGCCUAUGGGUACCGUUCACAGACUAAGUGAUUGUGGGAGGGGGGCUAGUUACCCCUUCUAAGAUAUAGUCGGCCUCUGUCCUAAUAGAUAGAGCUAGCGUGUCCGUAGGUGAACCUGCGGAAGGAUCAUUAAAAAAAAGAGAAACGUCCCGUUUUUUUUCAUAAGAAUGGGUUCUAUUCCCUUAAACCGUGUCUACAUACCUUUGUUGCCUUGGCAGGCCGCCUUCGGGCGUCGGCUCCGGCUGAUAGUGCCUGCCAGAGGACCCAAACUCUAUGUUUAGUGAUGUCUGAGUACUAUAUAAUAUUUAAAACUUUCAACAACGGAUCUCUUGGUUCUGGCAUCGAUGAAGAACGCAGCGAAAUGCGAUAAGUAAUGUGAAUUGCAGAAUUCAGUGAAUCAUCGAAUCUUUGAACGCACAUUGCGCCCCUUGGUAUUCCGAGGGGCAUGCCUGUUCGAGCGUCAUUAUAACCACUCAAGCCUGGCUUGGUAUUGGGGCUUUCGCGUGUUCGCGGCCCUUAAAAUCAGUGGCGGUGCCGUCUGGCUCUAAGCGUAGUAAUUUCUCUCGCUAUAGGGUUCCGGUGGUUACUUGCCAAAACCCCCCAUUUUUUCUAGGUUGACCUCGGAUCAGGUAGGGAUACCCGCUGAACUUAAGCAUAUCAAUAAGCGGAGGAA